AUACAUGCAAGUCGAACGAGUUCUGAUUAUUGAAAGGUGCUUGCAUCUUGAUUUAAUUUUGAACGAGUGGCGGACGGGUGAGUAACACGUGGGUAACCUGCCCUUAAGUGGGGGAUAACAUUUGGAAACAGAUGCUAAUACCGCAUAAAUCCAAGAACCGCAUGGUUCUUGGCUGAAAGAUGGCGUAAGCUAUCGCUUUUGGAUGGACCCGCGGCGUAUUAGCUAGUUGGUGAGGUAACGGCUCACCAAGGCAAUGAUACGUAGCCGAACUGAGAGGUUGAUCGGCCACAUUGGGACUGAGACACGGCCCAAACUCCUACGGGAGGCAGCAGUAGGGAAUCUUCCACAAUGGACGCAAGUCUGAUGGAGCAACGCCGCGUGAGUGAAGAAGGCUUUCGGGUCGUAAAACUCUGUUGUUGGAGAAGAAUGGUCGGCAGAGUAACUGUUGUCGGCGUGACGGUAUCCAACCAGAAAGCCACGGCUAACUACGUGCCAGCAGCCGCGGUAAUACGUAGGUGGCAAGCGUUAUCCGGAUUUAUUGGGCGUAAAGCGAGCGCAGGCGGUUUUUUAAGUCUGAUGUGAAAGCCCUCGGCUUAACCGAGGAAGUGCAUCGGAAACUGGAAAACUUGAGUGCAGAAGAGGACAGUGGAACUCCAUGUGUAGCGGUGAGAUGCGUAGAUAUAUGGAAGAACACCAGUGGCGAAGGCGGCUGUCUGGUCUGUAACUGACGCUGAGG
rnacentral:rRNA from 1 species